AAGAUAUUUUCCUAAAUUACUUAAUUCAUUAGUAUUUUCAGUUGACAAUAAUUAUAAUAAUUUAUACAGCUUACUCCACAUAUGUUGAGAUCACUUAUUUUGAAAUUCCGCUUAUUUUGAAAUAGAAAUAAAUCCCCAGUUUUUGCCUCUCAUUUUCUUUGCAUUGAUUUAACGGAUAUAAUGAAAUCGGCUAUUUUGAAAUAUCGCUUAUAUUGAAGCCACUGAUCGGUCCCCAUAGGUGAUAAUUAGUUGUUUUUAUAACGGUUAUAUUGAAGUACUCCCUUGCGGCUGUCGUCACGGUUGAUGACAGUAAUUAUGCCAGACUGACCGGUUGAAAGAUGUGAAUUGAUAAGUUCUCUUCAUGUGUGUUUUUAUACUUUUAUUAAAAGUAAAAUUUAUUCACUGUUUAAUUUUUUGUUUUUAUGAAUACGGAUGUAUUGAGGCUAGACGUAAUAUGGAAACCCCACGGAAAAGAAAUACCUUAUCUCCGGACGCUAAAUACAAACUAGUUAUGGCUAUUGAUGAAAGAACAAAGCCUAAAUUCGAAAUAGCUAAGGAUUUAGAGAUUAUCCGUGUAUACACUUACGAUGAUAUACAAGCAGCGUUCAGCAAUAUUUGAAGCGUUUGAGUGUGGUGAUUUUUCUCUAACGUUUUCUAAAACGUAAAAGAAUGCGAUCCGAGAUUAUGAUGAGGUUUAAGAUAGAAACAAAAUGAAACAUUCAAAACUUACGGAUAUAGUUUUAAUCAAACUUUUAAGGACUAAUAUUCCAUGUAAUCUGUUCACUGUAAUAAAUAAAUGAUGACC
rnacentral:sRNA from 1 species